GGGUGGUAAUGCCGGAUGCUCCAUCACACCGCAUGGUGUGUUGGGAAAGCCUUUGCGGCAUGGGAUGGGGUCGCGUCCUAUCAGCUUGAUGGCGGGGUAACGGCCCACCAUGGCUUCGACGGGUAGCCGGCCUGAGAGGGCGACCGGCCACAUUGGGACUGAGAUACGGCCCAGACUCCUACGGGAGGCAGCAGUGGGGAAUAUUGCACAAUGGGCGCAAGCCUGAUGCAGCGACGCCGCGUGAGGGAUGGAGGCCUUCGGGUUGUAAACCUCUUUUGUUAGGGAGCAAGGCAUUUUGUGUUGAGUGUACCUUUCGAAUAAGCACCGGCUAACUACGUGCCAGCAGCCGCGGUAAUACGUAGGGUGCAAGCGUUAUCCGGAAUUAUUGGGCGUAAAGGGCUCGUAGGCGGUUCGUCGCGUCCGGUGUGAAAGUCCAUCGCUUAACGGUGGAUUCGCGCCGGGUACGGGCGGGCUUGAGUGCGGUAGGGGAGACUGGAAUUCCCGGUGUAACGGUGGAAUGUGUAGAUAUCGG
rnacentral:rRNA from 1 species